rnacentral:rRNA from 1 species
UACAGAGGUCUCAAGCGUUGUUCGGAUUCAUUGGGCGUAAAGCGCGCGUAGGCGGCUCGGAAAGUCGGGCGUGAAAAUGCCGGGGCUCAACCCCGGGACUGCGUCCGAUACUUCCGAGCUGGAGGUAGGUAGGGGGAGAUCGGAAUUCCUGGUGUAGCGGUGAAAUGCGCAGAUAUCAAGUGGAACACCAGUGGCGAAGGCGAGUCCCUGGACAACACCUGACACUGAGGCACGAAAGCUAGGGGAGCAAACAGG